rnacentral:tRNA from 1 species
GGAGGGAUGGCUCAGUGGUUAAGAGCACUGACUACUCUUCUGCAGGUCCUGAGUUCAAAUCCCAGCAACCACA